GGGGGCAACCCUGGCGGCGAGCGGCGAACGGGUGAGUAAUACAUCGGAACGUACCCAGGAGUGGGGGAUAACACAUCGAAAGAUGUGCUAAUACCGCAUACGCCCUGAGGGGGAAAGCGGGGGACCGCAAGGCCUCGCGCUGUUGGAGCGGCCGAUGUCGGAUUAGCUAGUUGGUGGGGUAAGGGCCUACCAAGGCGACGAUCCGUAGCUGGUCUGAGAGGAUGAUCAGCCACACUGGGACUGAGACACGGCCCAGACUCCUACGGGAGGCAGCAGUGGGGAAUUUUGGACAAUGGGGGCAACCCUGAUCCAGCCAUUCCGCGUGAGUGAAGAAGGCCUUCGGGUUGUAAAGCUCUUUCGGCAGGAACGAAACGGCGGGCUCUAACAUAGCCUGUCAAUGACGGUACCUGAAGAAGAAGCACCGGCUAACUACGUGCCAGCAGCCGCGGUAAUACGUAGGGUGCGAGCGUUAAUCGGAAUUACUGGGCGUAAAGCGUGCGCAGGCGGUUUUGUAAGACAGCUGUGAAAUCCCCGGGCUUAACCUGGGAACUGCGGUUGUGACUGCAAGACUAGAGUGCGGCAGAGGGGGGUGGAAUUCCACGUGUAGCAGUGAAAUGCGUAGAGAUGUGGAGGAACACUGAUGGCGAAGGCAGCCCCCUGGGUUGACACUGACGCUCAUGCACGAAAGCGUGGGUAGCAAACAGGAUUAGAUACCCUGGUAGUCCACGCCCUAAACGAUGCCAACUAGGUGUUGGGGAAGGAGACUUCCUUAGUACCGUAGCUAACGCGUGAAGUUGGCCGCCUGGGGAGUACGGUCGCAAGAUUAAAACUCAAAGGAAUUGACGGGGACCCGCACAAGCGGUGGAUGAUGGUGGAUUAAUUCGAUGC
rnacentral:rRNA from 1 species